CUGGGGUGUGGAAGGAAUACUCGGCACGAUGACAGCGAGAUGGAGUCGCCUGCUGACAGCAUUCUGCCAAACCUUGCGGAGCAAGACGGCCCAGUGCAACAAGAGGAGCCAAGAGACCAGCAGCAGCAGCUGAUCAACAAAGCAAGGUGAACAAUCUCUAGUUAUUAUAAAACUGUCUUACACUAUUUCGUUCCAUCAGGCCACAUUCAAGCGGAUCCAACAUGCAGGACCCUGUUAGCACCUGCGUAAAUCUUUUGGAGGAGAUACGGGAGAGGCGUGCGAGGAAGGCAGGUGGCUUCGAAGAUCCAGUUCAUCACUUCUGUGCGUCCCUUGCCGGGAGAAUAAGGACACUUCACGAUACAAAACAAAUUGAGAUAAUGCAUGAUAUCGAGGAUCUGAUUUACAAAGCUCAGCGGGAGCAUUUCUACGGCCCAGACUACUGAGUGCCAAACUAAUAAAGUGUGAAAAAGAGACUUCUUGUUCUAAGUCAGUUGUCACAAGGCCCCAUGACCAUCUUGU